AGUGAACGCUGGCGGUAGGCCUAACACAUGCAAGUCGAACGGCAGCACAGUAAGAGCUUGCUCUUACGGGUGGCGAGUGGCGGACGGGUGAGGAAUACAUCGGAAUCUACUUUUUCGUGGGGGAUAACGUAGGGAAACUUACGCUAAUACCGCAUACGACCUGCGGGUGAAAGCAGGGGAUCUUCGGACCUUGCGCGAUUGAAUGAGCCGAUGUCGGAUUAGCUAGUUGGCGGGGUAAAGGCCCACCAAGGCGACGAUCCGUAGCUGGUCUGAGAUGAUGAUCAGCCACACUGGAACUGAGACACGGUCCAGACUCCUACGGGAGGCAGCAGUGGGGAAUAUUGGACAAUGGGCGCAAGCCUGAUCCAGCCAUACCGCGUGGGUGAAGAAGGCCUUCGGGUUGUAAAGCCCUUUUGUUGGGAAAGAAAAGCAGCAGGUUAAUACCCCGCUGUUCUGACGGUACCCAAAGAAUAAGCACCGGCUAACUUCGUG
rnacentral:rRNA from 1 species